rnacentral:rRNA from 1 species
CAGCACGGACUUCGGUCUGGUGGCGAGUGGCGAACGGGUGAGUAAUGUAUCGGAACGUGCCUAGUAGCGGGGGAUAACUACGCGGCGUAGCUAAUACCGCAUACGCCCUUCGGGGAAAGCGGGGGACCUUCGGGCCUCUUACUGGCCAAACGGCCGAUAUCGGAUUAGCUAGUUGGUGGGGUAACGGCUCGCAAGGCGACGAUCGUAGCUGGUUUGAGAGGACGACCAGCCACACUGGGACUGAGACACGGCCCAGACUCCUACCGGGAGGCAGCAGUGGGGAAUUUUGGACAAUGGGAAACCACAGUCCAGCCAUCCCGCGUGUGCGAUGAAGGCCUUCGGGUUGUAAAGCACUUUUUUUGGCAGAAAGAAACGGCACGGGAUAAUACCCCGUGCAACUGACGAGCACCUGCAGAAUAAGCACCGGCUAACUACGUGCCAGCAGCCGCGGUAAUACGUAGGGUGCAAGCGUUAAUCGGAAUUUUUGGGCGUAAAGCGUGCGCAGGCGGUUCGGAAAGAAAGAUGUGAAAUCCCAGAGCUUAACUUUGGAACUGCAUUUUUAACUACCGAGCUAGAGUGUGUCAGAGGGAGGUGGAAUUCCGCGUGUAGCAUUGGAAAUGCGUAGAUAUGCCGGAGGAACACCGAUAGCACGAAGGCGACCUCCUGGGAUAACACUGGCAGCUCAUGCACGAAAGCGUGGGGGAGCAAACAGGAUUAGAUACCCUGGUAGUCCACGCCCUAAACGAUGUAACUAGCUGUUGGGGCCUUCGGGCCUUGGUAGCGCAACUAACGCGUGAGAUUGACCGCCUGGGGAGAAUACGGUCCGCAGAUUAAAACUCAAAGGAAUUGACGGGGACCCGCACAAGCGGUGGAUGAUGUGGAUUAAUUCGAUGCAACGCGAAAAACCUUACCUACCCUUGACAUGUCUGGAAUCCCGAAGAAGAGAUUUGGGGAGUGCUCGCAAGAGAACCGGAACACAGGUGCUGCAUGGCUGUCGUCAGCUCGUGUCGUGAGGAUGUUGGGUUAAGUCCCGCAACAGGCGCAACCCUUGUCAUUAGUUGCUACGAAAGGGCACUCUAAUGAGACUGCCGGUGACAAACCGGAGGAAGGUGGGGAUGACGUCAAGUCCUCAUGGCCCUUAUGGGUAGGGGCUUCACACGUCAUACAAUGGUCAGGGACAGAGGGUCGCCAACCCGCGAGGGGGAGCCAAUCCCAGAAACCCGAUCGUAGUCGGAUCGCAGUCUGCAACUCGACUGCGUGAAGUCGGAAUCGCUAGUAAUCGCGGAUCAGCAUGUCGCGGUGAAUACCGUUCCCGGGUCUUGUACACCGCCCGUCACACCAUGGGAGUGGGUUUUACCAGAAGUAGUUAGCCUAACCGUAAGGAGGGCGAUUACCACGGUAGGAUUCUUGACUGGGGUGAAGUCGUAACAGGUAA